AGAAAACGCAACAGUCAGCCUGUUCCAAGAUUCUGGGCAGGCUGUGUGGUGUGAUCCAUAGGACUUGGGCUGCUGUGGAGUGAAGAAUACAAUGACUGCCAAUUCACCUUGGUGCUGUGAUCUUGAUUCCUGCAAACAUACCAGCAGUUUUACCCACCAUCGCUUUUGUACUAUCAGUACAGAGGCCAGUACAGUGGAAAAGGAAAUCUGGUGCUCUUAACCCUCCUGGUAACCAAAGGGGUAUGAGGAUGAAUGAUGCUUGGCUGGUGUGUGCUGCUGUGUGGCAUGCCAGAACAGGGACUGCAGUAUCAGCAUUCACAGACACUGGAGGCUGGCACAGAAAUUGACAAGCUGAUCCUAAAAAUCACAUGAAAAUGUAAAGAAUCCAGCAAUCUCUUGGAAAAGAAGCCAAAACAAUAUUGGAGAAGAAAAACAAAGUUGGAAAACUCACACUUCCUGAUAUCAUAACAGUUUUGCUCUUGUUGCCCAGGCUGAAGUGCAAUGGUGUGAUCUCGGCUCACCGCAACCUCUGCCUCCCAGGUUCAAGCAAUUCUCCUGCCUCAACCUCCAAGAGUAGCUGGGAUUACAGGCACGCGCCACCACACCCAGCUAAUUUUGUAUUUUUAGUAGGGACGGGGUUUCUUCAUGUUGGUCAGGCUGGUCUUGAACUCCCAACCUCAGGUGAUCCGCCACCUCGGCCUCCCAAAGUGCUGGGAUUAUAGGCAUGAGCCACCGCGCCCGGCCAGAACUUCAUCUUUAAAGUCCCAAUGAGCUGUGCAUUGCAAGGGUACUCUCCCUAGGUUGAACUCUGGGGGUGUCAAGGAGAGUGGGUGAAGGAAUGAAUGCUCACAGCCUAUCAGACCCAACCUGUUAUUAAGUCUUCAUUCUAAGGGGCUUUUAAAGGAGUGAAGAAACUGCUGUGACUUGUGCCAAAUUCUCAAAACCUUUUGACCUCAAGUCAGAGGUAUUUUUACCGUUAUGCAGACGUCGGGCUCUUGAAUGCAGCCCCAUUGCCCAAGUUCGAUUGAUCCAGUAUCUCACAAUGUUUUGCUACUAACCAAUGAGCCUUGAGGAAACUUGCUUGUUUUCCCUACUGGUAAUUGAAAAUACUAUUAUCGUGUGAAGCAACAUGGAUAUAUUAUGAAAUAGAGUGCAAAAAUUGUGAAUUUUGAAGACAGAACACUUAAAUUGCAGUAAGCCAUUUUAGUCUAAACUGACUCUAGACCUGUUAAGGUCAUUUCCUCUUGGCUUGAAAAUAUAUUUUUGGUAAAACUAUUUGACAAGCAGUGUCCUAAUUCAAUAACCUACCAUCCCUAGCUUGACACUGUAGCUGAAGCUGAGUGUUAUCGUGUGUUAGCAAGACGUUAAGCUCCUGUACACUAAUUCCUGAAAACGCCAUUGUAUUUUUGGAACCGCACUGUGUUUUUGCUUGAUUUAACUUGAUGUUCUUUCUCAGUGAGUAAUUUUUACGGUUCCUGUUAAAAAAAAAUACCAAGUUGUCUCAUUUGCUGUGGCCAUUUGAUUGUAGUUCCUGAUGUAAUCUCUAGCACAAAGGUCCCAUUGAAGAGUUUAUUUUGGUUUCUAUAUGUGGGUCAAUCACAUAAUGCAGUUUACUGUGUGAAUUUUGAAGAAUUCCAAUCCUUCUAAUAGUGCUUGGAAAUAUGAGUACAAAUAUUGGGCUUUAAUGCAUUGAAAGGUGUUGUAGGAGGCAAACAACAUAGAAAUUAGGGUUUUGACACAUUUUUCAAGGAAGGGGCUUGAAGGAGGAGGUGUAGUGGCAGGCAUCUCUGGAGAACACCACUGACUAAAAUAAAAAAAAAAAUUUUCUCCAAGUUUCCCAUCUGUUACAUACUGGAUUUUUCCUGUAAAUAUCAAGUUUAAUGAAACAUACAUCCUGAAUACAUUGAAGGGGAAAUAACAAUCACCAGCUCCUGCCUGGUUAAAUGUUGACUCUAAUAAAUGAGUUGCCUGCACAGCUGUUCAAUUUUAUAAUUUCUCAUGGUGGCUAGUUCCUCAUUUCCAUCUUUGAAAUGCUUUUUAAAAAUCCUGGAAAGAACAUUUAGUUUUUAAAUUGAGGAAGAUUAGUGAUAAUCUCAUUAGCAAUCUGGAUGGUAAUUUUCAUUUAGUGGGUGCCUUCUCUAUGAAUCUUGGGAAAUUCUGAGAAUUCAUUGUUGCUAAACUUUUUGCUAAAAAUAUCCUUCCUAAAUGGAAAAGUCUGUGUCAUGCAUGCUAGUGUGAAUGUGGGCUCGUGAAGGAACUGGCAGCCUAGAUAGAUACCCUGAGAGUGAUGAGGUGGUGUGUAUCAGUCAGUGUUUACCACAGUAAUGCUGCAUAACAAACCACCCCCAAAGUCUGGACCAUACAAUGAAAGCAUUUAUUUCUGGCUUGUGUAUAUAUGAGUCAGCUUGUCUGGGCUCAGCUAGAUUUGGCUGCAGGCCUUGAGUUCAAUUUAGAUCUGUUUCAAGCAUCUUAUUUUUCUGAGUCAAGUAGGCAACUCUGCAAGGCAUGUUCUUCUCACGUUAAUGUCAGGGUGCAAGAGGACAAGCCUAAUCAUGCCAGUGCAUUAUAUCAUACCCCACUGGCCAAAGCAGACAUGUGGCUAAACCCAAAGAUUAGCCAAAUUCUGCCUAUAGUGGGAGGAACUGCAAAAGCC
rnacentral:lncRNA from 1 species